AGAAGUCGGGGAGGCGAUCGCGUGCCUCCCGAAUCCUGGAUUGCGGGAGGUUCGAGGAAAGUCCGAGCUCCACAGGGCAGGGUGCUGGUUAACGGCCAGGGGGAGUGAUCCCACGGAAAGUGCCACAGAAAAGAUACCGCCACGGGUCGGCUCGCCGGCACGGGGUAAGGGUGAAAUGGCGAGGUAAGAGCUCACCGCGCCGCCGGUGACGGCGGUGGCAGGGCAAACCCCACCUGGAGCAAGACCAAAUAGUGGAGGAUGAGACGGCCCGUCUCGUUACGACUCCCGGGUAGGUCGCUGGAGGCCGUCGGCAACGGCGGUCCGAGAUACAUGAUCGUCGCCGUGCCGUUCGCGGUGCGGCAACAGAACUCGGCUUACGACCGGCUUCUCACG
rnacentral:RNase_P_RNA from 1 species